rnacentral:misc_RNA from 1 species
GGCUAUUGCAAAUUUUAUGUACCUGAUUAGAGAAUUCAUAAAUUACAGCUUCUCGUCCUAUGUCAUCGAUAGUACGUAAAUCUACUGUGAAGGUCACCUGGCCUGGAAUGACAUUGCUUGCGCUGGGCCAUGUCGAUAUCUCUCCAACCGUACAGACAAGCGAUGUGGAAAGUGAUUUCAAGGUAGAAUCAGAACAAUGCCCAUCAAAAGAUAAGUAGCUCUCUGGUUGCUUACAGAGUUUUUCCAAUUGUACAAUCAAUUCGGCUGAAGCGGCCAUGGGAUCUUGGCGCAUAGGCAUUGGAACAGUUCCUGCAUGCCCCUGAGAACCUCUCACUGUAACCUUUAGCCGUGUCUGCCCAGCUAUGCCUCUAACCACUCCAAGAGGAAAACCAGACCACUCAAGUACAGGACCUUG